AACAAACGCUGGCGGCGUGCCUAAUACAUGCAAGUCGAACGGGGAAAGCUUUCGGGUGAGUACUAGUGGCGCACGGGUGAGUAACGCGUGGAUAAUCUGCCUUAGAGUGGGGGAUAACUAGUCGAAAGAUUAGCUAAUACCGCAUAAGACCACAAGAACUGCGGUUCAAGAGGUCAAAGGUUUUUCGCUCUAAGAUGAGUCCGCGUAAGAUUAGCUAGUUGGUGAGGUAACGGCUCACCAAGGCAACGAUCUUUAACUGGUCUGAGAGGAUGAUCAGUCACACUGGAACUGAGACACGGUCCAGACUCCUACGGGAGGCAGCAGUAGGGAAGAUUGCACAAUGGAGGAAACUCUGAUGCGGCGACGCCGCGUGAGUGGUGAAGGCCUUCGGGUCGUAAAGCUCUGUCGCAGGGGAAUAACACAAUGAAUGUACCCUGUAAGAAAGGAUCGGCUAACUUCGUGCCAGCCGCCGCAGUAACAC
rnacentral:rRNA from 1 species